rnacentral:lncRNA from 1 species
GUAUGACUCGUCUGCCAACAUAUAAUCGAUCCAAGUUCCAACAACUCCCUUAUCAGCAAAUCAUAAAUGCCCUUUCGUGCAAAACCAAUCCAGUCGUAGUCCAGAUCGAGGGAUGAACAGACGACAAAACUCUAACACAAUACACCAAUGACACAUGAAGCAAACACAAUCCACCAACGACACAUGAAGCAAUCACAGCAGAUACAUUUCUUAAGGUAUGACGAAAGACAACUAUUAUCAACACAGAGCAUCUACGCAUGUAGCCUUUUUAAGCCACAUCAGGCGAACAUUCUAGACUUGUUGAAUCCAGAUAGUGGGGUGCAUCCAACAAAUCAGCGCCCUGAUGAACAAAAUUUUAGAACCCAUACCUUAAAUCUAGAAAAAAAAAACAAAUUUAAGAUUUUCAAACAAACAAAGAGCUGGAACAUAGCCACCACCCAAUUUCAUCUUCCUAGAAACAAAACGAAAAAGAAAAAUAAAAACAUAAACAAGCAUGUGGGAGACCUGCAACCCAGUUUGCCGGAAGCCGCCGAAAAACACCAGCAAACCCACACAUAGAGGCCUCCAAACAAACAAACCCACGACAUUUAGAUCACCAUAACAAAGCCGAAGGACAUGAUUGUGUAAGGUGGUGGAGAAGGUUUGUGUUUGGUUAGAGAGAAGUCGGAGAAUGAUAAGGCUAGAGAGAGGAUAUCAUCAACCCAAAUAUCCAUGGAUAUUGAGAGGAAAUAUAUUAAUGUAACAUGCUUAAAAUCACUGCUUGAACAAUAAAAUUUGAACUAAUGUCCUUAU